rnacentral:rRNA from 1 species
GACUAAACUGUCUCUUACGGACAUUCAAUGAAACUGAUCUUUCAGUCCAAAAGCUGAAAUAUAAACACCAGACGAGAAGACCCUGUGGAGCUUCCAAACCAAUACCAACACCUAUGGUCAUACGGUUUUUAGUUGGGGCGACUUCGGAGAACAAAAAAACCUCCAACUAGGAAACUUUCCUGAUUAAGAUCUACACAUCUAAAUAUUUAACUUGACCCAGUAGGCAUUUCCCCCAUCUGAUCAAGGAACCAAGUUACCCCAGGGAUAACAGCGCUAUCCUCUUCUAGAGUCCCUAUCGACAAGAGGGCUUACGACCUCGAUGUUGGAUCAGGACACCCCAAUAGUGCAACCGCUAU